UACGAAGGGGGCUAGCGUUGUUCGGAAUUACUGGGCGUAAAGCGUAUGCAGGCGGAUCGAUAAGUCGGGGGUGAAAUCCUGAGGCUCAACCUCAGAACUGCCUUCGAUACUGCCGAUCUUGAGUCCGGGAGAGGUUAGUGGAACUGCGAGUGUAGAGGUGAAAUUCGUAGAUAUUCGCAAGAACACCAGUGGCGAAGGCGGCUAACUGGCCCGGUACUGACGCUGAGAUACGAAAGCGUGGGGAGCAAACAGG
rnacentral:rRNA from 1 species